rnacentral:rRNA from 1 species
AGCGAACGCUGGCGGCAGGCCUAACACAUGCAAGUCGAACGAACCUUUCGGGGUUAGUGGCGGACGGGUGAGUAACACGUGGGAACGUGCCUUUAGGUUCGGAAUAACUCAGGGAAACUUGUGCUAAUACCGAAUGUGCCCUUCGGGGGAAAGAUUAAUCGCCUUUAGAGCGGCCCGCGUCUGAUUAGCUAGUUGGUUGAGGUAAUGGCUCACCAAGGCGACGAUCAGUAGCUGGUCUGAGAGGAUGAUCAGCCACAUUGGGACUGAGACACGGCCCAAACUCCUACGGGAGGCAGCAGUGGGGAAUCUUGCGCAAUGGGCGAAAGCCUGACGCAGCCAUGCCGCGUGAAUGAUGAAGGUCUUAGGAUUGUAAAAUUCUUUCACCGGGGACGAUAAUGACGGUACCCGGAGAAGGAGCCCCGGCUAACUUCGUG